rnacentral:rRNA from 1 species
AUCUGCUCAAUGAAUUUUAAAUAGCUGCAGUAUCAUGACUGUACAAAGGUAGCAUAAUCAUUUGUCUUUUUAUUAAAGUCUAGUAUGAAUGAUUUAAUGAAAUAAAAUCUGUCUCAAAUUAAAAAUUAAACUUUAUUAUAAGUUAAAAUUCUUAUAUUUAAUUAAAAGACGAGAAGACCCUAUAGAAUUUAAUAAUUUUAAAUUUUAUUUAUUAUAUAAAUAUUUUUUUAAAUAAUUUUUUUAUUAUUUUGUUGGGGUGACAAAAAAAAUUAAUAAAUUUUUUUAAUAAAUUAACAUCAUUUAAUGAAUAUAAUUUAUCCAUUUUUAAUGAAUAUAAAAUAAAUUACCUUAGGGAUAACAGCGUAAUUUUUUUAAAGAGACCAUAUUGAUAAAAAAGUUUGCGACCUCGAUGUUGAAUUAAGAUAUAUUAAUAUUGUAGAAAAUAUUAUAUUAAGU